rnacentral:miRNA from 1 species
UGAUGAUAAUGAUGAUGGAGAUGAUGAUGAUGAUGAUGAUGAUGUCUCUUAUCACCUUCACAUCCUUACUAUCUUCAGAAACUCCUCCAUCCAUA